AAUAACAAUAAAGCUUGGCAGCUUCAGACCAUGGGAAAUCAUGAGGAUGAUGAGUUGCCGUACUGCCAUGGGUUGAACUUGAUGGAAGUGACAUCUGUCUCGUCACCGACACUGGAGCCAUCGAUGGCAGCCCGGUGCUCAGUAUAUUUGCCAUUGUAUUCAUAAAUCUCCAACUCACCCCAGGGAGUAGGGGCGACUACAUCCGUCAAGUUAAACCAUCUGGGUGUAAAUUGCUCACCCUUGGCCUCACGAGUUCUUUUCUCAGCUCUCUGUUGUUCCUCCAGCCUGAAAAGUUUGGAGAAACUCAGGUGUAAGGACAAAACUAGAAGGCAGGCACCAUGCUCAAAAUUACAGCAUCAAAUAAAAUGGGCGUACAAACGAGUGGUCUGAAUUCAAGAAAAAGGGGCAGUACCUGCUCUUUUCUGCGCCAGACUUCGACAUGUCACCCUUCUCGAGCGCGUAUCGGUCAGGCCUCAACCGGGAAUCAGAUGGCAACAGCUUCUUAGGAGCAGUGUCAAAGCUAUUUAUUUUGUGAGCAAAGUGUGUGUACUGGUACUUGUCAUUCUGUGGGGUUGGAGCAAUCCUCCAGAUCUGCAGUACGUUUAAUGUAUGAGCAGUUAAGUGGAUCUGACAUCCGCAAAUAUGGGACUGGCAUUGCAUGAAUAUAGCAGAAGUCCUAACUAGAAAUGAUAAGUGAAAGAAACUACCUCCUUCAGCUCAGUGCCUGGAAUAGGUUCGCCCUCUUGAUCACAUGGUUGGCAGCUCAUAAACGUAUUCCAUUUCCCUGUAAUCAUUAUUUUGGGUUCUUCCUCUGCACUGUACACAUACCCAUCCACCUCAUACCGGCCAGCCCUGAAAUGUACAGUCUGUUGAGACAAACCCUUGGCAAAACAAAAUUGAAAGAACUGACCCCACCCUCGAAACGAACUGUAGACAAAAAGUAGUAUAAUACUAAAACUGAAUAAUUGGCAACAUGAACUGUCAAUUACUGAUGCAACAAGAAAUUGAUGGCCAAGAUCAUACCCGAACCAGCCGCAUGGCUGGAAAUAUAGCACAGCUUUGUCUCCAGUUGUCAGGUUUGUCAUGACCAUCUCUCCAGGUGAGUCAACCCAUGUGCGCCCAAAUAUCAGGUUGUUAACCUUUGUUGGUGGUGGCACCAAAUCCAAAACGACACCAGAUUUUUUAAGUGUCACUCUAGUCCUGUGAUAUGGAAGUAUAUAACAGGGGUUAAAUUUAGUGAUUUCAAUAACUGGUUCCAAUGCAACCUUCAGAAAGAUUUGCAGUUCAUUAUCAACUCAGCA
rnacentral:lncRNA from 1 species